rnacentral:misc_RNA from 1 species
GAAAUGCGAUAAGUAAUGUGAAUUGCAGAAUUCCGUGAAUCAUCGAAUCUUUGAACGCACAUUGCGCCCUCUGGUAUUCCGGGGGGCAUGCCUGUCCGAGCGUCAUUGCGAACCCCUCAAGCACGGCUUGUGUGAUGGGCCCUCCCGCGUCUUGGUCGUCAAGACGGGCCCGAAAUGCAGUGGCGGCUUCGCGGUUAUCCGAUCAGCCAGAGCGUAUGGGGACUCUCUCUCUGUCACACGCCCGCGGCGCGGACCGACGCCUGUCGACCUUUAUUCAUCUUUUCUCGGUUGACCUCGGAUCAGGUAGAGAUACCCGCUGAACUUAGGC